rnacentral:rRNA from 1 species
AGUUUGAUCCUGGCUCAGAUUGAACGCUGGCGGCAUGCCUUACACAUGCAAGUCGAACGGCAGCACGGGGGCAACCCUGGUGGCGAGUGGCGAACGGGUGAGUAAUAUAUCGGAACGUGCCCUGGAGUGGGGGAUAACUAGUCGAAAGAUUAGCUAAUACCGCAUACGAUCUACGGAUGAAAGUGGGGGACCCGCAAGGGCCUCAUGCUCCUGGAGCGGCCGAUAUCUGAUUAGCUAGUUGGUGAGGUAAAGGCUCACCAAGGCAUCGAUCAGUAGCUGGUCUGAGAGGACGACCAGCCACACUGGGACUGAGACACGGCCCAGACUCCUACGGGAGGCAGCAGUGGGGAAUUUUGGACAAUGGGCGCAAGCCUGAUCCAGCAAUGCCGCGCGAGUGAAGAACGCCUUCGGGUUGUAAAGCUCUUUUGUCAGGGAAGAAACGGUGAGGGCGAAUACCCUUUGCUAAUGACGGUACCUGAAGAAUAAGCACGGCUAACUUACGUGACAGCUGGCCGGCGGUAAUUACGUAGGGUGCAAGCGUU